rnacentral:lncRNA from 1 species
GACUAGAGUAACUCCACAUCACGUAUAACCACAAGAAUAGGAUUCUAACUAGAAUAAGUUAUAUUCCAUGUAUGUACAGUAUGCCAAAGUACACUCUACUGUCAUGUAUAUCUAAAAAGAACAAAUAAUAAUCAUAAUAAAUAACUUGGCUACAUUGUCAUCUCCAAGAGGCCUUCCCCAGCCCUGGUUUUGGUAAGAUGGUCUUCCCUUUGACUCUCUUGGCUACAUAUAUAAAUUGAUAAUAUUGCAUUUGUCAGACAGUAUUUAAAUGGUCCUCUGUCUUUCACCUUGAGGUUAGGAACUGUAUUAUCCUGAUUUGGGGAUUCACCUGGGACCCAGCACAAUUCAUAGUACUUGAUUUUAAAAAAAUCAAUAAAUAUAUGCUACAUAGAUGGAUGGUGUGAGACAUCAAUUGGGAAUCCUUUGGAGUAUAGAUUCUAAAAUUUUUUGUAACAAUGAUCUCUUUGGCUCUCUCACAUAAAAUAUGUGAACCUCUUCUAAGAAUAAUGUUUUUAAGGAAAUAAAAUAAAUACAGGAGGUUACAAAAGAAGACAAUUAUACCAAAAUAUAAUUAUCAAAAUAUUUUAAAAACUGAUCUGUGAUAUAGUAAUGUGUGCAUAUUUAUUAACACAUUGAAUAACAAAAUAUAAUAGAAUUGCUGUGGCAAAUUUGUACUGAAAAAUUUAAUUAAAUUCUUAGUUAUCUACAAGUUUACUGUGAUUUUAAAAUAUCCAAAAUUUUUAUAGGUUACUAAAUAUAGGCAUUACUAAUACCAGUUUGUUGCUUCUAUUUGUAACUAAGGGAAAUGCCAAAUGGUAAAGUUUAAUUAAAAUUAAGAUAUAAUUUUUCCUCAAGUUUACAUGAUCCUGACCCACAAGUCAUGGACAUACAUAGGUCUGUAGACCCCAGGUGAAGAAGCCCUGCAUUGGUUAGGUGGCAUGAUAUGGUGACUUGGCACUGGUCUGAGAAUAAGGCAUGAUGUACUGCACUAAAGAGAUCAAGUUUGUUGGGGAGCCAUUGGAGGGUCCAAGCAAGGAGGUAACAACAGGGUAAUAUUCUGAAUAUUUGACAACUACAUGACAUAGCCUCUUACCAAUCAGAAAUGUAUCAGCUGUGAACAGCCAGUGCAUAUUAGUUAGCCCUCAGGAUGUGGUGAGAUGAACAAAUGAGAAAGAGUAUUUGGGGGAAAACGUGUGGCAGAAUAUUGGGAAAUAAUGAAAUUGGAGGUGGGAAGACUAUUUACAAGGCUUUUACAAGAAUGAAGGCAGUGAGUUUAGG